rnacentral:rRNA from 1 species
AACGAACGCUGGCGGCGUGCCUAACACAUGCAAGUCGUGCGAGAAAGUUCCUUCGGGAGCGAGUAAAGCGGCGCACGGGUGAGUAACACGUAGGUAACCUGCCCCCCAGUCUGGAACAACUAGAGGAAACUCUAGCUAAUGCCGGAUGAGACCACGAUCCCUUCGGGGUUGCGGCCAAAGAUGGCCUCUACUUGUAAGCUAUCGCUGAGGGAUGGGCCUGCGGGCCAUUAGCUUGUUGGUGAGGUAACGGCUCACCAAGGCUGUGAUGGCUAGCUGGUCUGAGAGGAUGACCAGCCACACUGGACUGAGACACGGCCCAGACUCCUACGGGAGGCAGCAGUGGGGAAUAUUGCGCAAUGGGCGAAAGCCUGACGCAGC